GCUAUUCUGGUGUAGUUGGUUAAUACUCACUACUAAAAUCCUUGCUGUUAUGGUGAGGUCACUAGUUCAAUCCUCACUUUUGGCA